rnacentral:rRNA from 1 species
GAUGAACGCUGGCGGCGUGCCUAAUACAUGCAAGUCGAGCGAACAGACAAGGAGCUUGCUCCUUUGACGUUAGCGGCGGACGGGUGAGUAACACGUGGGUAACCUACCUAUAAGACUGGGAUAACUUCGGGAAACCGGAGCUAAUACCGGAUAAUAUUUCGAACCGCAUGGUUCGAUAGUGAAAGAUGGUUUUGCUAUCACUUAUAGAUGGACCCGCGCCGUAUUAGCUAGUUGGUAAGGUAACGGCUUACCAAGGCGACGAUACGUAGCCGACCUGAGAGGGUGAUCGGCCACACUGGAACUGAGACACGGUCCAGACUCCUACGGGAGGCAGCAGUAGGGAAUCUUCCGCAAUGGGCGAAAGCCUGACGGAGCAACGCCGCGUGAGUGAUGAAGGUCUUCGGAUCGUAAAACUCUGUUAUUAGGGAAGAACAUACAUGUAAGUAACUAUGCACGUCUUGACGGUACCUAAUCAGAAAGCCACGGCUAACUACGUGCCAGCAGCCGCGGUAAUACGUAGGUGGCAAGCGUUAUCCGGAAUUAUUGGGCGUAAAGCGCGCGUAGGCGGUUUUUUAAGUCUGAUGUGAAAGCCCACGGCUCAACCGUGGAGGGUCAUUGGAAACUGGAAAACUUGAGUGCAGAAGAGGAAAGUGGAAUUCCAUGUGUAGCGGUGAAAUGCGCAGAGAUAUGGAGGAACACCAGUGGCGAAGGCGACUUUCUGGUCUGUAACUGACGCUGAUGUGCGAAAGCGUGGGGAUCAAACAGGAUUAGAUACCCUGGUAGUCCACGCCGUAAACGAUGAGUGCUAAGUGUUAGGGGGUUUCCGCCCCUUAGUGCUGCAGCUAACGCAUUAAGCACUCCGCCUGGGGAGUACGACCGCAAGGUUGAAACUCAAAGGAGUUGACGGGGACCCGCACAAGCGGUGGAGCAUGUGGUUUAAUUCGAAGCAACGCGAAGAACCUUACCAAAUCUUGACAUCCUUUGACAACUCUAGAGAUAGAGCCUUCCCCUUCGGGGGACAAAGUGACAGGUGGUGCAUGGUUGUCGUCAGCUCGUGUCGUGAGAUGUUGGGUUAAGUCCCGCAACGAGCGCAACCCUUAAGCUUAGUUGCCAUCAUUAAGUUGGGCACUCUAAGUUGACUGCCGGUGACAAACCGGAGGAAGGUGGGGAUGACGUCAAAUCAUCAUGCCCCUUAUGAUUUGGGCUACACACGUGCUACAAUGGACAAUACAGAGGGCAGCGAAACCGCGAGGUCAAGCAAAUCCCAUAAAGUUGUUCUCAGUUCGGAUUGUAGUCUGCAACUCGACUACAUGAAGCUGGAAUCGCUAGUAAUCGUAGAUCAGCAUGCUACGGUGAAUACGUUCCCGGGUCU